rnacentral:ncRNA from 2 species
AAUAGUUCACCGGGGUGUCCGCGCGUUUGAGGCGGGCUGAGACGAGGCGAAAGUGCCUUAAACCCGCCGAACCUGAUCCGGGUCAUGCCGGCGAAGGGAGUUGGAUACGCUUAACC